CUACGGGACGCAGCAGUGGGGAAUAUUGCACAAUGGAGGAAACUCUGAUGCAGCAACGCCGCGUGGAGGAUGACACUUUUCGGAGCGUAAACUCCUUUUAUAUAGGAAGAAGAUGACGGUACUAUAUGAAUAAGCGCCGGCUAACUCCGUGCCAGCAGCCGCGGUAAUACGGAGGGCGCAAGCGUUACUCGGAAUCACUGGGCGUAAAGAGCGUGUAGGCGGAUUAAAAAGUCAGAAGUGAAAUCCUAUAGCUUAACUAUAGAACUGCUUCUGAAACUCUUAAUCUAGAAAAUGGGAGAGGUAGAUGGAAUUUCUGGUGUAGGGGUAAAAUCCGUAGAGAUCAGAAGGAAUACCGAUUGCGAAGGCGGUCUACUAGAACAUUAUUGACGCUGAGACGCGAAAGCGUGGGGAGCAAACAGGAUUAGAUACCCGUGUAGUC
rnacentral:rRNA from 1 species